AAAAAAAUAAAAAGUAACGGUAGGGGUAUCAAUAUUUUAACGGUAUGGAUGUUUCGAGACAUUUUAAAAAUACAGAGACUAAAUAGACAUUAAUCUUAAAAUACAGUGAUUAAAUAGACAUUAAUCUUAAAAUAUAUUUGUAAUAUAUUUAAAAUAGAAAUAUCUUCAAUAGCAGUAACACAUACAAAAAUGUGCCAAACUGCCAAUUGUCAACGAGUGCUGCAAUUUCGCAUAAAAAUAUAAAAUAUGCCAAUCGUCAAAGAGCGCUGCAUUUUCUUUUACUUUUUUAAUGUAGCACCCAGAGCAAUAAGUAAUUCAAUAGCAUGCCCAGACAUGAAUCAUGACUAUUGAAGAGGUGAAGUUUGUGGGCAUGGGCAUGGGCAUGUAUGAUAAUUUUUUUUUUUUUUUAAAGGAGAGGAUAACCUUCGUUCAUUUAAAGAGUUUGAAUAAAUACAUAAUUUCUAAGGAAUAUGAGCCUACCAAUACAACAAUUUCACAUUUUUCCAAAGCUAAAGCUGGCUAAAAAAUGAGCCAUGACAUUACAAGAUCUUAGAGGGUUGAAUUUUAAUGGCAUUAAAACCCUUCAUUUUAUUUUUGCACGUAUAAAAUUAUUCAAUGGAUUUCAGUUCUGCUGCUCUUUUUGUUGUUGACAAAAUCAAGUACAUCUUGAGAAUCUUAUUCAAUGAUAAUAGAUGACAAUCCUGCACAAUUAGAUAUGUUCAGACCCCAAUUCACAGCUUCCGCUUCUGCAAAAAGCUUCAUCACUGUAAAGCUUUGCAGCUUUGAGUACUGCUGCUGUAAAAUUUUUGUUGGCACCCCUCAUAACUCUCAGCCCUGCACGAUGUUCCUCAGAGUUAAUGGCAGCACCCACAUUGACUCUCAACCAAUUUGUUGGAGGAGAGGGCUCCAACAUACUCGUGCCUUCUCUUCUUGACCAGACUUCAGAUUUGGGACUGGUCUUCGGGAUCCGUUAAAAUGACUCCACAAUUGCUUUCGCCAAUUUGUUGGGGGAAAGCCAUGAAUGAUUUACCUGAUUAAAAAAGAAAAAAAGAUCAACAUUACAAAUCAUAAAUUAAAUAGAUGAUGAGAUAGUAUAAUAAAUUUAUUAAAAUGUAAGAAAUUUAUCAUCCAUUCAAUGAAUGGCAUACUACACAUUUAUAACGUCUAGCAUCACUCUAUUAGAUAAAAAAAAAAAAUUAACUUAUAGAAUUAAUAAAGAAGGUUAGACUAAGGUGACGUUUGUUUUUUUUGUCUGAAAUUUAAAUAGAUCUGAAUUAGUCUGAAUUCUGAAUAGAUCUGAAUGACUGAAUCUGAAUAAUAUGUUUGUUUUUUUUCGUCUAAAUCUCAAAAAACAAAUAUUAAGUUGUUUAUUUUUUUUAACUUAAAAAACUGAAAAUAUGUACUUUUACAUU
rnacentral:lncRNA from 1 species